UACGUAGGGGGCAAGCGUUGUCCGGAAUCAUUGGGCGUAAAGAGCGUGUAGGCGGCUUGGCAAGUCUGGUGUGAAAUCUUGCGGCUCAACCGCAGGCGGUCACUGGAAACUGCCUCGCUAGAGUCCGGAAGAGGAGAGCGGAAUUCCUGGUGUAGCGGUGGAAUGCGCAGAUAUCAGGAGGAACACCGAUGGCGAAGGCAGGUCUCUGGGCAUUAACUGACGCUGAGGAGCGAAAGCAUGGGGAGCGAACAGG
rnacentral:rRNA from 1 species